UUUAUGAUAGUUUAUCAUUUUAUAUACAUUUAGUUAUAAAUUAACCAUUAUCUAAGUUAAAUCAUAAAAACUGUUACUUCUUUAAUCACCGGUCAUUUUGACCACACACGGUAGGAAUAUGUAUAUACGAAAUGUCGGUAGGUUUAGUAUCAAGUCUAUAAU